CUUUUUAAGAGUUUGAUCCUGGCUCAGGAUGAACGCUGGCGGCGUGCUUAACACAUGCAAGUCGAGCGAACAAAACGGGAGGGAGUCUUCGGACAAA
rnacentral:rRNA from 1 species